rnacentral:rRNA from 1 species
AUGGGACUGUCGACCAUCGACGAAGGCGAACAACCUGACGGCCAGGACGAAGAAGGCUGCCAUUGCCCUUGGCCUCCUGCAGCCACGCUGCCACCCCCUCCACCUCCGGCGGCCGACGAAGGCACGAAUUCAGACGGAACUAGGAGCGAGGCCGACAUGCUCGAGGAUAUGCUCGCAAGUGAGCAAAUGAAUGAUGAUGCGGCCGAUUUCAUGGAACAAUUGAAUGUAAGCCACACACUCGGCCUUGAUGACAUUGCCAUGUCAAUGUCAUAUACCCAAGAGAUGAUGAGAAAUGCCGAGGGGUGGAGGAGGUCAAGGGGGCGGAAGGGUCAAGGAUACCCAAACAUAAAAAAAGAGCAGUUGGUCGUGCAACUACAAGACCAGGAAGACAAAGCUUUUUUGUGA